GCGGCGAGCACGGGACGCUUCAGCCUCUGUCCUUCCGAGGCCGCAUCCCUCGCCGCGCUGAGGGCCGUCCUCCCUCCCCGACUCCGGGGUGAUGCCAGAGAAGAACUGCCAAGCUUUCCAGGUGAUUCCAGUGUGCAGCCAGACAAGACAGAGUACAAGCAGGGGAGGGCAGAGGGAGACACAGAAUCCGAAGCAGGCUCCAGGCCUCUGAGCUGUCAGCAUAGAACCCAGCGCGAGGAGAAACGGGAAAGAUUCAAAAGAACAUAUAAAUUAAGAGACUUACAAAGCUCAUUAAUCAAUUGCAAUUUAUGGACUUUAAUGGAUCCCUAUUUGAAUAAACUGUCAAAAUCAUGUGAGAUCAGAAAA